ensembl:lncRNA
GGAAGAUAAACAAGACAAUGGAAAUUGCAAAAUCUCAGGGAAGGGAUGCAUGCUGGAAUAUGGAGUGGUGGAUCUACUGAGGGUGUGGCUUAUCUUCACCACACCCACUUCUGAAGUAUAGCAGAAAACCCACCCCAGUCCAAGUCCAGGAGAAAAAAGCCUUGAGCUAUUCCAGACCUCAGAGCUAAACCAGGAACCCACUUUCCUUUCCCCCUGCUCAAAGCUGUGGCUGUCAGUGGUGGAGAGGCCAGCAGGUGCUUUGAGUCCUGACAGGAGGCAAGCAGUGACCACCUACAAAUAUGAGGGAUAGUCUUGACUUCUUGAGAUAGACGUGAGAGAUGUGCCAGAUCCCAGGUGGUGCUGAGUUUUGCAGCCUGGAUGGCAUAUCUCCUGGCAUCUCCUCCUUUCUUCUUCUCAGAGCUCUCUCUGCUCGGAAGUCCUGCCUAUACCUCCUGCUUAACUAUUGGUUGUUCGGCUUUUUAUUGCACCAGUUAUAACAAUACCCGUUCACCCAGUGUACAGAUAUCCCUCAACAGAUGUGUUCAAGACCCUCCUAUGGGCUCUGAAGCCUCUGACACAACAGUUAGACCCAUAGAGUGGCUUAAGAGACCCUUCUGCUUUGGGGACCCACACAGAUUCCUCAGUGCCUUCAACAACAUUUUCCACCUGUAGUUAUGAAUAACUAAAUUUUUUUGAUUGGGUCUUCUUUCUUCCUUAACACCAUACUUCUGGAAAGAAAACUCAACAGAGUGACCAGUUUCCCUGAAAUAAGGACCUGAAGGGACAUGUAAAGCCAGGUUGCUCUCAGCCUUGCUUGGCCGCCAAAAGUAGAUCUUGAACUUGGGAUCUUCUGGCCUUAGAAGACGUUGUGGUGCGCACCUGUAACCUUGCAGUGAGGGGCUGAUGCAGGAGGAUGCUGGUCCAAGGCUUUACUUUGAACUACAUGAGACCCUGCCUCACAAAUGGAGGAAGAGAGAAGAGAAGAAAAGAGAGAAGAAAGAGAAAAAAUGGAAGGCUACUUGGGUUAAAAACCAAAGACCCUUUCAGUGAGAUGUGAAGAUAUUAUAGAGAGGCCAAGAGUCUAGACCCUGCACUUGGGACAGUUUACUCUCACUCCUACUACUUAAGGGAAAGAAGCAAAGCAAAAGAGGUCUUCCAUUUGAUGGGAAAUAGACAGCUGGGACCAUGGCUGCCGCAGCCUCCAGGAAGCAACUGUGCAGGGCAGUGCUGUGUUGGAAAGACAGGGCCAGCUAUAGGAGUUGUAAAUGCUUUAAUAGCCACAUUUAAGAAAUGGGUAAAUAAAAAGAUAAACCUAGCAUGAUGGCACACCCUUGUAACCCUAGCACUCAGGAAGUGGAGGCAGGGGGAUCAGGAGUUCAAGGACAGCCUUGGCUGCAUAUCCAUUUAAGGACAGUCAGGGCUACAUGAGACCUUGCCUCAAAACCCCUAAAAAAUAGAAUAAAAUAAACAAUUAAGAAAUAGGUAGGAGGGCUGGAGAGAUGACUCGGUGAUUAAGAUCACUUGCUAUACAGUCAUGAGGACAGGUGGCAGGUACGUGCCUGUCACUCCUGCUCUAGAGGGGUGGAGACGGGAAGAUCCCUUGGGCGUGCUGGCUUCCAGCCUAGCCAUGCUCCAGGUUCAGAGAGGGACCCUAACUCAACAGAAUCAGCAUAGAGUAUAGAGGAGAAGGGACAAGGACCUCUUUUGGCUUCUGGUCAUAGGUGAGCACAUGCAUACAGAUAUGUUCACACAGACAUACACAAAUAAAAAAUAAACUUUUACAACAAAAAUAGGGAAAAUUAACUUUAUUUAAUAAAAACUCCAAAAUGUACUUUUAAUCAUGUAAUUAAUAAAAAUUAUUUUC